GACGAACGCUGGCGGCGUGCUUAACACAUGCAAGUCGAACGAUGAAGCGGUGCUUGCACCGUGUACUAGUGGCGAACGGGUGAGUAAUACGUGAGUGACCUACCUUUUACUCUUGGGUAAGCCUUGGAAACUCGGGCUAAUACCCGAUACGACCGAUCCCGGCAUGGGGUGGGGGUGGGAAGGGUUAGGGGGUGGUUUUAGAUGGGCUCACGGCCUAUCAGCUUGUUGGUGAGGUAAUGGCUUACCAAGGCGACGACGGGUAGCCGGCCUGAGAGGGUGACCGGCCACACUGGGACUGAGACACGGCCCAGACUCCUACGGGAGGCAGCAGUGGGGAAUAUUGCACAAUGGGCGCAAGCCUGAUGCAGCGACGCCGCGUGAGGGAUGACGGCCUUCGGGUUGUAAACCUCUGUUAGCAUCGAAGAAGCGAAAGUGACGGUAGGUGCAGAGAAAGCGCCGGCUAACUACGUG
rnacentral:rRNA from 1 species